ensembl:misc_RNA Metazoa_SRP Metazoan signal recognition particle RNA
GCCAGGUGUGGUGGCUCACGCCUGUAAUCCCAGCACUUUGGGAGGCCGAGGCGGGAGGAUCACCUGAGGUCAGGAGUUCGAGACCAGCCUGGCCAACAUGGUGAAACCCCGUCUCUA